rnacentral:rRNA from 1 species
CACGUAGGGUGCGAGCGUUGUCCGGAAUUAUUGGGCGUAAAGAGCUCGUAGGCGGUGUGUCGCGUCGGCCGUGAAAACCUGCAGCUUAACUGUGGGCUUGCGGUCGAUACGGGCAUCACUGGAGUUCGGCAGGGGAGACUGGAAUUCCUGGUGUAGCGGUGAAAUGCGCAGAUAUCAGGAGGAACACCGGUGGCGAAGGCGGGUCUCUGGGCCGAUACUGACGCUGAGGAGCGAAAGCGUGGGGGAGCGAACGGG